GAUGGAUCUUUCUUAAUGGCUAUGCUCUUUCUCAGCAGGAAGAUUUGCAGCACAGACCUUCUGGAUCUCCACAAAGUUCACCCCAGUGCAUUGCGCCAGAUGCAUAUUCUGUAUCCCUCCGGAGUGAAAUAGAAGCAGAUGCUCAUGAGUUUGAAGCAGCGUGUUGGAGUGUUGCAGUGGAACAGUUAUGCAAAAAGACAAAAGAAAGACGUAAUAAGAAGGCAAGAUGUCAUUUAUGGACUAAUGCAGACUGAAAUGCACCAUGUUAGGACACUGAAAGUAACGCCGAAGGUGCACUCCAAAGCCACGAGAGAGGAACUGCAGUUCCCAAAUGCAGUCAUCAACAAGCUUUUCAUCUCUGUGGAUGAGCUGCUGGUGGUGGAUGGGCGAUUUCUGCUCCAGUUAAAGGAACGACAAAAGGAAUCCUUGGAAGAAGGCAGUGACCGUUUUUUGCCCUUCAUCUUUUACAAGUCCUCAGUGUUUUUAAGGCAGAGGCCCAGAGAUCCUUUAAAAUUCUUUUAGAAUGGUAAGCAUCAUUUAAUAUUUGGUUAUCUUGUGGUGUUCCAAGCUCUC